GAUGAACGCUAGCGGCAGGCUUAACACAAUGCAAGUCGAGGGGCAGCAUGAGACGGAGAUUCGUCGAAGUCUUGAUGGCGACCGGCGCAAGGGUGCGUAACGCGUGAGCAACUUGCCCGUUUCUGGGGAAUAACCGGUGGAAACGCCGACCAAUACCCCAUAGUAUUGAGUUUAGGCAUCUUUACUCAAUUAAAGAAUUUCGGAAACGGAUAGGCUCGCGUGACAUUAGCUGGAUGGCGGGGUAACGGCCCACCAUGGCAACGAUGUCUAGGGGUUCUGAGACGGAAGGUCCCCCCACACUGGAACUGAGACACGGUCCAGACUCCUACGGGAGGCAGCAGUGAGGAAUAUUGGUCAAUGGUCUGACGACUGAACCAGCCAUGCCGCGUGAAGGUCACGGCCCUAUGGGUCUUAAACUUCUUUUGUAAGGGUAGCAAUAAGUCUCACGUGUGGGAUGAUGAGAGUACCUUACGAAUAAGCAUCGGCUAACUCCGUGCCAGCAG
rnacentral:rRNA from 1 species